AAAUAAGAAGCAAAAUAUUGCAUUUAGUUUCGACCUAAAAUUUUGAUUUUACAAUCCUUAUUUA
rnacentral:tRNA from 1 species